rnacentral:rRNA from 1 species
UCAGUCGACUCCUACGGGGAGGCAGCAGUGGGGGAAUAUUGCACAAUGGGCGCAAGCCUGAUGCAGCCAUGCCGCGUGUAUGAAGAAGGCCUUCGGGUUGUAAAGUACUUUCAGCAGUGAGGAAGGUUCAUGCGUUAAUAGCGUAUGGAUUUGACGUUAGCUGCAGAAGAAGCACCGGCUAACUCCGUGCCAGCAGCCGCGGUAAUACGGAGGGUGCGAGCGUUAAUCGGAAUUACUGGGCGUAAAGCGCAUGCAGGUGGUUUGUUAAGUCAGAUGUGAAAGCCCGGGGCGUCAACCUCGGAAUUGCAUUUGAAACUAGGCAGACUAGAGUACUGUAGAGGGGGGUAGGAAUUUCAGGUGUAGCGGUGAAAUGCGUAGAGAUCUGAAGGAAUACCGGUGGCGAAGGCGGCCCCCUCGGACAGAUACUGACACUCAGAUGCGAAAGCGUGGGGAGCAAACAGGAUUAGAUACCCUGGUAG